rnacentral:rRNA from 1 species
UACGAAGGGGGCUAGCGUUGUUCGGAAUCACUGGGCGUAAAGGGCGCGUAGGCGGCUUUAUAAGUCGGGGGUGAAAGCCUGUGGCUCAACCACAGAAUUGCCUUCGAUACUGUAGAGCUUGAGACCGGAAGAGGUUAGUGGAACUGCGAGUGUAGAGGUGAAAUUCGUAGAUAUUCGCAAGAACACCAGUGGCGAAGGCGGCUGUCUGGUCCGGUUCUGACGCUGCGGCGC